GAGACACCCUUCUGGGGCAAGAGUUGCUUCGGUGGGGCUUUGGUGCUCACUGAGUCUGCCCCCUGAGUGUGUCCCU
rfam:Myotis lucifugus cont2.23402, whole genome shotgun sequence.